rnacentral:rRNA from 1 species
AUUGAACGCUGGCGGCAGGCCUAACACAUGCAAGUCGAGCGGCGCGGCGGACGGGUGCGUCAUGCCAAUGCAUCUGCCUGUUCGUGGGGGAUAACGUCCGGCAACGGGCGCUAAUACCGCAUCCUCUCAGAUGCGCCUAGGUCGGAUUAGCUAGUUGGUGGGGUAAAGGCCUACCAAGGCGACGAUCCGUAACUGGUCUGAGAGGAUGAUCAGUCACACUGGAACUGAGAAACGGUCCAGACGCCUACGGGAGGCAGCAGUGGGGAAUAUUGGACAAUGGGCGAAAGCCUGAUGCAGCCAUGCCGCGUGUGUGAAGAAGGUCUUCGGAUGGUAAAGCACUUGAAGUUGGGAGGCGUUACCAACAGAAUAAGCACCGGCUAACUUCGUGCCAGCAGCCGCGGUAAUAC